rnacentral:rRNA from 1 species
UACGAACUGUGCAAACGUUAUUCGGAAUCACUGGGCUUACAGGGUGCGUAGGCGGCCUGACAAGUAGGGUGUGAAAGCCCGCGGCUCAACCGCGGAAGCGCCCCUGAUACCGCCGGCCUCGAGGGGGGCAGGGGCGCGCGGAACUUCCGGUGGAGCGGUGAAAUGCGUAGAUAUCGGAAGGAACGCCGGUGGCGAAAGCGGCGCGCUGGGCCCCUUCUGACGCUGAUGCGCGAAAGCCAGGGGAGCGAACGGG